rnacentral:rRNA from 1 species
UUCCAGACUCCUACGGGAGGCAGCAGUGGGGAAUAUUGCACAAUGGGGGAAACCCUGAUGCAGCGACGCCGCGUGAGUGAAGAAGUAUUUCGGUAUGUAAAGCUCUAUCAGCAGGGAAGAAAAUGACGGUACCUGAAGAAGAAGCCCCGGCUAACUACGUGCCAGCAGCCGCGGUAAUACGUAGGGGGCAAGCGUUAUCCGGAUUUACUGGGUGUAAAGGGGGCGCAGACGGCGAUGCAAGUCAGGAGUGAAAGCCCGGGGCCCAACCCCGGGACUGCUCUUGGAACUGCGUGGCUGGAGUGCAGGAGGGGCAGGCGGAAUUCCUAGUGUAGCGGUGAAAUGCGUAGAUAUCAGGAGGAACGCCGGUGGCGAAGGCGGCCUGCUGGACUGCAACUGACGUUGAGGCCCGAAAGCGUGGGGAGCAAACAGGAUUAGAUACCCUGGUAAA